rnacentral:rRNA from 1 species
ACAGUCACACAUUAGACUACCCCGGUAGUCCCAGCCCUAAACGAUGCGCGUUAGGUGUAUCGGUGACCACGAGUCACCGAGGUGCCGAAGGGAAACCGUGAAACGUGCCGCCUGGGAAGUACGGUCGCAAGGCUGAAACUUAAAGGAAUUGGCGGGGUGCACCACAACGGGUGGAGCCUGCGGUUUAAUUGGACUCAACGCCGGGAAGCUCACCGGAUAAGACAGCGGAAUGAUUGCCGGGCUGAAGACCCUGCAUGACCAGCUG